UACGGAGGGGGCUAGCGUUGUUCGGAAUUACUGGGCGUAAAGCGCACGUAGGCGGCUUUGUAAGUUAGAGGUGAAAGCCCGGGGCUCAACUCCGGAAUUGCCUUUAAGACUGCAUCGCUAGAAUUGUGGAGAGGUGAGUGGAAUUCCGAGUGUAGAGGUGAAAUUCGUAGAUAUUCGGAAGAACACCAGUGGCGAAGGCGACUCACUGGACACAUAUUGACGCUGAUGCACGAAAGCUAGGGGAGCAAACAGG
rnacentral:rRNA from 1 species